GCCAGCGUGGUGCAGUGGUUUGGGUGUUGGACUAUGACUUUGGAGACCUGGAUUCGAAUCCCUGCUUGGCC